AACGAACGCUGGCGGCAUGCCUAACACAUGCAAGUCGAACGAGAUCUUCGGGUCUAGUGGCGCACGGGUGCGUAACGCGUGGGAAUCUGCCCUUUGGUUCGGAAUAACAGUUGGAAACGACUGCUAAUACCGGAUGAUGACGAAAGUCCAAAGAUUUAUCGCCAGAGGAAGAGCCCGCGUAGGAUUAGCUAGUUGGUGUGGUAAUGUCGCACCAAGGCGACGAUCCUUAGCUGGUCUGAGAGGAUGAUCAGCCACAGUGGGACUGAGACACGGCCCAGACUCCUACGGGAGGCAGCAGUGGGGAAUAUUGGACAAUGGGCGAAAGCCUGAUCCAGCAAGGCCGCGUGAGUGAUGCAGGCCUUAGGGUUGUAAAGCUCUUUUACCCGGGAUGAUAAUGACAGUACCGGGAGAAUAAGCUCCGGCUAGCUCCGUGCCAGCCGCCGCCGUAA
rnacentral:rRNA from 1 species